CCCUUAGAUGUUCUGGGCCGCACGCGCGCUACACUGACGGAUUCAACGAGCUUACAACCUUGGCCGAAAGGUCUAGGUAAUCUCCAAAAUCCGUCGUGAUGGGGAUAGAUUAUUGCAAUUAUUAAUCUUCAACGAGGAAUGCCUAGUAAGCGCAAGUCAUCAGCUUGCGUUGAUUACGUCCCUGCCCUUUGUACACACCGCCCGUCGCUCCUACCGAUUGAAUGGUCCGGUGAAGCGUUUGGACUAUGGUUUUCUGAUGGUCCGCCGUUGGAUUACCGUGGGAAGUUCGUUAAACCUUAUCAUUUAGAGGAAGGAGAAGUCGUAACA
rnacentral:rRNA from 1 species